GACGAACGCUGGCGGCGUGCUUAACACAUGCAAGUCGAACGAUGAAGCCGGAGCUUGCUCUGGUGAAUUAGUGGCGAACGGGUGAGUAACACGUGAGUAACCUGCCCUUGACUCUGGGAUAACUGCGGGAAACUGUAGCUAAUACCGGAUACGACCCUCGGAGGCAUCUCCUGGGGGUGGAAAGAAUUUCGGUCAAGGAUGGACUCGCGGCCUAUCAGCUAGUUGGUGAGGUAAAGGCUCACCAAGGCGACGACGGGUAGCCGGCCUGAGAGGGUGACCGGCCACACUGGGACGGAGACACUGCCCAGACUCCUACGGGAGGGAGCAGUGGGGAAUAUUGCACAAUGGGCGCAAGCCUGAUGCAGCAACGCCGCGUGAGGGAUGACGGCCUUCGGGUUGUAAACCUCUUUUAGCAGGGAAGAAGCGAAAGUGACGGUACCUGCAGAAAAAGCACCGGCUAACUACGUGCCAGCAGCCGCCGUAA
rnacentral:rRNA from 1 species